GAUAUGGUGAUAUUGUUCCACAGACCAUCAUAGGUAAAAUUGUAGGUGGAGUUUGCGCACUGUCCGGAGUUCUUGUCAUAGCGUUGCCAGUUCCUGUUAUCGUCUCCAAUUUUAGCCGAAUCUACCAUCAAAGUCAAAGAGCAGAUAAAAGGAAAGCCCAAAGAAAAGCAAGACUUGCAAGGAUAAGAUUAGCCAAAAAUGCGAGCGGAAAUGCCUUUGUAUCGAGGAAGAAAGAGGCGGAUAGGCUAGCUAAGAGUGGAGUUAGCAGUGAUGACAUGAAUCUUAAGUAUAGUCCAUAUGAAGCCCAACACCAUCACUUACUCAGUUGUCUGGAGCGAACAACGGUAAGUUUCAUCUUUAUAAUGCCAACUGAAUACAAAAUUAAUAAAUAAUGAAACAUCAUAUGUGGUUAUCUUCUCUUAUAGCGGUUUAAUACUAUCCCAUUUACAGAUAUAAAGCUAGACUUAAAAGACAGGUGUUAUACAAUUAUACAUGAGCUCAUUAAUGUAAAUAUACAUGUGUGUGUAAGAGACUGUCAGUACUUCAGGUAAGCUCAUAAAAUGUUACCCAACAGAAAAGAAUCAUUUACACAAUGACAUAACCCAUAAUUGAAUCUUCAAAAUUGCUACAUCACACAUAAAUUGCUUGCAGGCUGGCUUAUCAAUGUAAUAUCCAAAGAUAGACUUUGGUACUGAAAGCAUGGAUACAUCUUAAUCAGCUUCAGUAGCAAACAUUUCUUACAAUCACUUGUCUGUAAAGGACACACUUCUUGUCUUUGUUUGUGCUUUACGUUGAAUAUACAGGGGUUUACUUGAUAUUCUGUUAUGGCUUAUUCUGCCAAUCAUCAGUAAGUAUUUCUGUGCUAUGUCCGUUAUGUUCAUCUUGUUCUUAUCAUGGCUUUCCUAAUCACAACAUUUGAUUUAAAAGAUGAAUUUUAUUAUAGGCUGGUGUUUACCAUGGAAGUCCAUGUCUAGCGGGCAUAGGGUACCUGUUCAGACACACAGAAACCUAUGCAAAUUGCGUAAGCAUAUUCAAAACAUUUGUAUAAAGGUUGAUGUGAAUAAUCAUGCACUGGGAUCAUGAAAUCUACACCCAAAUACUGUUUGAAUAAUAAGCAUUUUUAUAUAAGUAAAAUAUGCUUGAAUAAUGACAGUUUGCCAAGCAUCAUGAUACAUCAACAAUACAUGAAGACCGUCUUCAUUUAAUCUAUGAACAUGAGAGGACCCCGUUUUAUUAAUUAUUUACUAUUUUACUAUAUCUUACUAUUAAACUGAUGCUGCCAAAUCAAUAAUGAAAUUUUAUUGUCAGUUUUGCAAAAUUUGUAUAAAGUUUUUUGUGGUAAUCUGAAUUAUAUGUAUGCAAUGGGAUUUCUAAAGUGAUUUAUAUAGAAAGAAAAGAUGAUUAUAAACCAGCAGCUGUGUUGAGAGAUUAAAAUGACUAGAGGCUAUAGAUUCCACUGAUUGCAAAUCAGAUCCCACUUCACAUACUACAUAUAUCGUCUUGUGAUUGAAAUCCGUCUAUUCCGUUUCUGAGGAGGGAAAGAGAGUGUAUCUGCAAUGUAUGCAGUAUAUGUGUGUGAGGGUGAGGGUGUGUUUGUGAGAGAGAGAGAAAGAGAGAGAGAUAAUCCACUUUUCAUUCUUAAAAAUGCAAACAAGCAACCUGUAUAUCCAAGCAUUUUUUAUUCAUUUUUAUUGAAUAGUCUGAUUUCAGAUAAUUUACCAAUUAAAUGACUGAGUAUGCAAACAAAGUGAUUUUUUAAAAUUAUCUUCAUCAUGGAGUAAUAUUACCCUUCAAAGGACAAGUCAUGUGAAAUUAAUGAAGAUUAUCUGAUUGAUGGAUGAUAACAAUAAGUGAGUAUUAGACUAAGGUAUCAAAGGUUCAAUUCGUCUUUUUUAUUACAUUAAAAUUCAUAAAGAAUAAUAAAAAAUAUUUGAAAACCAUUUUGGUCUUCAAAUGCAAUCUUUAUUCUCCAAAAUUAUAUUUAAAAAAUACAAAAUGUAAGUGAUACAUAGAAUGCCAUAAUACAUAACAAAAAUAGUAUAGAAUUUAAAUAAGAUGAAUCGUUUGCAUCUGUCUUUCAAAAUUCAUAGAUUUAUAUUGUUGUAUUAGCAUGGUUUCUUCUAAAGUUCUAUAUUAUAGUAAUAUUUUAAUUUCUGAUUUCUUUUGAAAUAAAGGAAAUAGAAAAAUAAUAAGGAAGGAAAAAAUUGAUGUGUUGCGUUCAAAAUAGAGAAAUAAUGGUAAUAGUAAUUACCACCUGGUAUAGGGAAUACAUAGUUCUUAAUACUUUAAUUAACUUUGCUUUAAAGUCUAUUUUUUAAUAACAAGGGAUAUAACCCAACUUGACUGGACACAUUGACUCUAGAAUUAAUCAAAUGAGAAGUCCCUUUAAUUAUCAAGUGAUUUGAUUUCAAGACCAUGUACAAUCAUACAGAUUCUAAUGUCCAAGGUAUGAUAUCAUAUGGCACAAAAUGUAUUUCUCGUACUGAAAUCUUUCAAUGUCCAGUGAUUGAGUCAGUCAUUAAGAAUGCAUUAAGGAUAUCAAUUAAAGCGUUGUGCUUUGAUAUUCCAUUUAUUUUCAAGCCUGCUCAGGUGGGUUCAUGCAAAAUGCAGAAGUGAACCUUUUACCCUAAGAGACUCUGGAAUUAACUAAGGUCAACAAAUUGAGUGAUUCUUUGAUGUAAUAUGAUUUGAUGUAUUGAUUUAGUUUGUUAAGGUACAUUUGUCUUUGGUAUCUUUGAUGUACAAUGUAAGGCUGUUAAGGAGAAAGAAAGUUUAUUCAUAGUUGAAGGGAAAAGAUAGUCUGAUGCAAGAUUUUGAAAAAUAAGCCAUUUUGUCCAGACAUGCUCAUGCAAAAGAGCAAAAGGGAAGUGGUCGGAAAUGGUGAUAAAGAAAGGAAAAGGGAGAAGUUAAAAUACAAAAUAGAAACAAGAAAUUGAAAAUGAGCUAAAAUGAAAUAGAAGGAUCAUUUUGCCUCUGUUCACCAAUGAUUUGCGUUGUCACCCAUCAAUAUGAUCAAAGAUAACGAGGGAUAUCUGUCCUCAAAUUGAAAAAUAUAAUGAUGCCUAGGGUAGUGUAUACUACUUUUCAAAAGAACUUUAAUAGAAAAUAUAAUGUUCUCAUGUAUAUCACAUUCCAGAUUAAUACCUAUUUUUUCAGGACCAAUUGAAGAUAGUUAGCUACAUUCAUAUCACUCCAUUUGGAAGAAAAAUGUUAAUGUUUUUAAAUGCAUAUUUUUCCCUAUCCAUACAUUAAUUUAUUUUCUAUUAAUCUAUUGAAAAAUCUUCAGUAUAUAUUAUUUUUAUGGGAGAUAGAUUUGUAAGCAAUUACACCAAGCAAAAAACAUUUUUUCCAAGCUUGCUGGUCCCUAACGUUAGUGUGACUCCUUCAUCUAGACAUGUAUUUUGAAAGAUUUGGAUGAGAGAGAUAGGUCGAGGGAAAUGGAAGAAGACAGAGAAAGAAAAAAAGGGAGGGUUAGAGAGAAGAAGAGAGGGGGAGAGCAAGAAAAGGGAAGAGGGAGUAGAAAAACAAGAAUGCACCAAGAGAAUAUUGUAUAAUCUCACUGUGAGAUGGAUUGAUAUGAGUAGUGACUUGGCAUAUAGGGAUGACCUUUUAUCAAUCUACUGUAUCUUCUUCUCUGAUCUGACUUUGAAUAAGUCUUUUCUAUUAAUAUCAUUUUAAUACCUUUCUACAUUCAGCAUAAUAACUAUCUAUUCAAAGACAUGUUUUCUAUGCAUUUG